rnacentral:lncRNA from 1 species
CCUCCCAUUGGCUGCGCCGCGCGUCAUGUCGACUAAGUUGGGAACUUUGCUGGAGCGACCGGGGAGCACGAAGGGAGGAGGCCACAGAGGAGGGAGAAGGAACGGGCGGGAAGAGGGACUCGCUCGACCAGCAGGGCCCCAGAAUUGAGGCUUUUCCACUCUAGGGAGCCAAGGACUGACCAGUCCAUCAAAGCUGCAGCCCUGCCUCAUCUACAAAGAGCCUCAAAGGUCCUGCCUGAUCUUGGCCAAGAUCCGCUUCUUCCUGAAGGACCUGUUGCAUGGACACGACUGCCCUCCACGAUCCCAAGUGUCAGGAAACGGCCACCUGAGUUGUUCAGGCCACUGCCGGUAAGCCCUACUGGGAAUCAUUGCUUCUUUGCCCAGCCCCAACACUGGCUGUGCCGCUGAGGGUAGUGGUGGCUGGGCCGUGGACCCCUGGGUUGACAGUGCUGGGUUUCUAGGCCUUGAGCUUCUGCUUCCUGACCAGGUGACUUUGGGUCAGUCGUGUCACCUGAGCCUUGGUUUCCUCAAAGCAGGGAGGCCACAUCACUGUCUGGGCCCGCCUCCCUGGGUUGUCUGGAGCAUCAAAGAAGGACAAGUGUGAUUUUCAAAACACUCAUUACAUGCAAGGCGACCCUUCUGCCUCUAGUGCCGUCCUCUCCCAGUGCCCGCUCUAAAUUGGCCAGGCCUGAGCUUUUCCAGAUGCCCUGGGGAGGGCAUGUGUUAGGGGCUCCAUAAAUACUUGUAGGAAUGAUUUUGUUUGUUUGUUUGGAGGGAGAGGGCAGGAACUGGAGGAAGUAUUGCCCAAACUUGAGGUCUGCUCACAGUGAAAACAUCUGAAUGAGCCUUUGCAUAUAUACACAUUCAUACACACCCACACACACUCAUACCUACAGAUACACCAGUGCCUACACACACCAUCACACAUAUCAUCACAC